UGUUAUAACAAUGGGGUAGAGAAUGAUAAGGGAGCUAUUGAUAAAAGAGAUUUCAACAUAUUUUUAGACAAUAAAGAUAAAAGUUAUACACUGCAAAGCUUCUUUACCAAUGAAAUUUGCCUUAUUCUUUCAUUCUAUACUUAUUUGGAAACAAUUCUAGAUAUACAAAAACAAAAAAACAUUAAUAGUAAAAAGAGUUCCCAUUAUAUACUUCAUCCAGCUUCUUUUAAUGUUAACGUCUUAGACAACCAUAAUGCAAUUAAAGUAUACAAAAUUAACAUUGAUUCAAUAAAUAUAAUCUACAAACUGUGAUCUGAGAGACUAAAAUAGACU
rnacentral:lncRNA from 1 species